CCUACGGGGCGCACCAGUGGGGAAUAUUGCACAAUGGGCGCAAGCCUGAUGCAGCCAUGCCGCGUGUAUGAAGAAGGCCUUCGGGUUGUAAAGUACUUUCAGCGGGGAGGAAGGUGUUGUGGUCAAUAACCGCAGCAAUUGACGUUACCCGCAGAAGAAGCACCGGCUAACUCCGUGCCAGCAGCCGCGGUAAUACGGAGGGUGCAAGCGUUAAUCGGAAUUACUGGGCGUAAAGCGCACGCAGGCGGUCUGUCAAGUCGGAUGUGAAAUCCCCGGGCUCGACCUGGGAACUGCAUUCGAAACUGGCAGGCUAGAGUCUUGUAGAGGGGGGUAGAAUUCCAGGUGUAGCGGUGAAAUGCGUAGAGAUCUGGAAGAAUACCGGAGGCGAAGGCGGCCCCCUGGACAAAGACUGACGCACAGCUGCGAAAGCGUGGGGAGCAAACAGGAUUAGAUACCCGUGUAGUC
rnacentral:rRNA from 1 species